rnacentral:rRNA from 1 species
UACGGAGGGGGCUAGCGUUGUUCGGAAUUACUGGGCGUAAAGCGCACGUAGGCGGCUUUGUAAGUUAGAGGUGAAAGCCCAGGGCUCAACCUUGGAACUGCCUUUGAUACUGGGCAUCUUGAGUAUGGGAGAGGUGAGUGGAACUCCGAGUGAUAGAGGUGAAAUUCGUAGAUAUUCGGAAGAACACCAGUGGCGAAGGCGACUCACUGGCCCAUUACUGACGCUGAGGCGCGAAAGCGUGGGGAGCAAACAGG